rnacentral:rRNA from 1 species
AACUUUUGACAACGGAUCUCUUGGUUCUCCCAUCGAUGAAGAACGCAGCGAAAUGCGAUAAGUAAUGUGAAUUGCAGAAUUCAGUGAAUCAUCGAAUCUUUGAACGCACCUUGCGCUCCUUGGUAUUCCUUGGAGCAUGCCUGUUUGAGAGUCUUGAAUAUCUCUGCUCUUAUUUUUUUUAAUUAAGGAAUAACGAGUCAGGUCCUUGGGCCUGCUUGCGGUUUGGUUACAAACACAAGCUUGCCUUAAAUGAAUUAGCUGAGCUUCAGCAGAGUUGUUAAGUAAC